AAAAAAAAAACUCUGUUUCUAGCCGAAUUUGUUAAAUGCUGUUAUAUGAAGAUUGUCUCUGAAUAUAGCCCACCUUGGGGGCUGGAGAACAGCUGUCCAUUUAAAGAAUGAGUUAACCAUGACACUCCGAGUGGAAAUUACCCUGAUUCUUCCAGAGUUCAGCAUCACAAAUGUGAUCUAGACUGCCAACUGACAACCGAGUGAAAAGC